GCAUGCUUGUUUUGGAGACAUGUGAUAUGUGAGUAAUGUCAGACUCAGCACACUAAAACAAACCAGCAAGGAGGAGACAAGAGGAGCGACAGAUAAGGGAGAUGUCAUUUGGAGGGGGAGUAAAGCUGGACAAAAAUCAGAUUCAGCUGUUUUUACUGAUAAAAAGCUGAUUUUCUUUGGACUUGAUGGCCGUUAACGCACGAGAAGAUGGAAAAAGUGCCCUGGAGCUUAAUGAACAGAACAAAACAUGAAUUUUAGCUUUUUCCCCUUCAUGUAUGGAGCCAAUAGGAACUGGAUCUAGUAAAGGAAAAAAGGAGGUUUUACCUCUCCAACAACUACACACCGUGCGCCCCGCGUCUGCUGGUUGGAAAAGGUGUGAACCUUACCGGCGUGAGCGCAGCGCUCCGGGCUGCAGAUGGUCAAACUGUCGGGAAACAAAGGAGGAAAAACGCCGAAAUCCACAACGUGCGCGCGGAGAGGAGGAUAACCGGGUCCGAGAGCGCGUCCGUGAGGUACACCGUCCAACCAUGUGAGUCUCCUGUAGCGCAGAGGAAAAACGCUGCUCCUCUUCAAGCCCCAAACUUAAGCCCCUCCCACUGCACACGCGCCCUGUCUGCAAACACUCAACUCACGCGAGCCGCGCACACGCGCACGGAUCACUACUAAGCGCCAACACACCACAAAGCAUUGAUGUUUUUGUUUUUAAUACAAAGAAUGACAAAGUUUUAGUUUACACGC